rnacentral:misc_RNA from 1 species
AAGGAUCAUUACAGUACAACUGUACCAGGUGUUCUGGCUGAAACCCGCAAGGGGAUUAAUCCAACACUGCCAAACCUUGCAAACAAUUAACGUUACCUCGGCGGGUUUGCCCGCCGGUGGCUAAUCUAAACUCUUUUAUUAUGCUGCAAUUAUUAUAAAAGUCUGAAAAUAUAUCAAAUAUAUUAAAACUUUCAACAACGGAUCUCUUGGUUCUG